CCUACGGGUGGCAGCAGUGAGGAAUAUUGGUCAAUGGGCGUAAGCCUGAACCAGCCAAGUCGCGUGAGGGAUGAAGGUUCUAUGGAUCGUAAAGUUCUGUUAUAGAGGAAGAACGGUGUACGUAGGAAAUGGCGUACAAAUGACGGUACUCUGUGAGGAAGCCACGGCUAACUACGUGCCAGCAGCCGCGGUAACACGUAGGUGGCGAGCGUUAUCCGGAAUCAUUGGGCGUAAAGAGGGAGCAGGCGGCCUGGAGGGUCUAUUGUUAAAAGGCAAUGGCUUAACCAUUGUAAGGCGAAGAAACCGGCAGGCUAGAGUUCUAAAGAGGAUCGUGGAAUUCCAUGUGUAGCGGUGAAAUGCGUAGAUAUAUGGAGGAACACCAGUGGCGAAGGCGACGAUCUGGGAAGAAACAGACGCUGAGUCCCGAAAGCGUGGGGAGCAAAUAGGAUUAGAUACCCCUGUAGUC
rnacentral:rRNA from 1 species